rnacentral:rRNA from 1 species
AGUGAACGCUGGCGGUAGGCCUAACACAUGCAAGUCGAACGGCAGCACAGUAAGAGCUUGCUCUUACGGGUGGCGAGUGGCGGACGGGUGAGGAAUACAUCGGAAUCUACUUUUUCGUGGGGGAUAACGUAGGGAAACUUACGCUAAUACCGCAUACGACCUACGGGUGAAAGCGGGGGAUCUUCGGACCUUGCGCGAUUGAAUGAGCCGAUGUCGGAUUAGCUAGUUGGCGGGGUAAAGGCCCACCAAGGCGACGAUCCGUAGCUGGUCUGAGAGGAUGAUCAGCCACACUGGAACUGAGACACGGUCCAGACUCCUACGGGAGGCAGCAGUGGGGAAUAUUGGACAAUGGGCGCAAGCCUGAUCCAGCCAUACCGCGUGGGUGAAGAGGGCCUUCGGGUUGUAAAGCCCUUUUGUUGGGAAAGAAAAGCAGCAGGUUAAUACCCCGCUGUUCUGACGGUACCCAAAGAAUAAGCACUGGCUAACUUCGUG